GACGAACGCUGGCGGCGUGCUUAACACAUGCAAGUCGAACGGAAAGGCCCGGCUUUUGUGGGGUGCUCGAGUGGCGAACGGGUGAGUAACACGUGAGUAACCUGCCCUUGACUUUGGGAUAACUUCAGGAAACAGGGGCUAAUACCGGAUAGGAGCUCCUGCUGCAUGGGGGGGGUUGGAAAGUUUCGGCGGUUGGGGAUGGACUCGCGGGUUAUCAGCUUGUUGGUGGGGUAGUGGCUUACCAAGGCUUUGACGGGUAGCCGGCCUGGGAGGGUGACCGGGGACAUUGGGACUAAGAUACGGCCCAGAAUCCUACGGGAGGCAGCAGUGGGGAAUAUUGCACAAUGGGGGGAGGCGUGAUGCAGCAACGCCGCGUGCGGGAUGACGGCCUUCGGGUUGUAAACCGCUUUCGCCUGUGACGAAGCGUGAGUGACGGUAAUGGGUAAAGAAGCACCGGCUAACUACGUG
rnacentral:rRNA from 1 species